GUAUGGCUCAGGAUGAACGCUAGCGGCAGGCUUAACACAUGCAAGUCGAGGGGCAUCGGGAGUAGCAAUACUUGCCGGCGACCGGCGCAAGGGUGCGUAACGCGUGAGCAACAUGCCCGUAUCAGGGGGAUAAUCCAUGGAAACGUGGUCUAAUACCCCAUAGUAAUUAUGUAAGGCAUCUUAUAUAAUUUAAAGCUUUGGUGGAUACGGAUUGGCUCGCGUGACAUUAGCUGGAUGGUAAGGUAACGGCUUACCAUGGCUACGAUGUCUAGGGGUUCUGAGAGGAAGGUCCCCCCACACUGGAACUGAGACACGGUCCAGACUCCUACGGGAGGCAGCAGUGAGGAAUAUUGGACAAUGGAUGGAAAUCUGAUCCAGCCAUGCCGCGUGCAGGAAAGACGGCCCUAUGGGUUGUAAACUGCUUUUGUAUGGGAGCAAUAAGGGCUACGUGUAGUCCGAUGAGAGUACCAUACGAAUAAGCACCGGCUAACUCCGUGCCAGCAGCGGC
rnacentral:rRNA from 1 species